CCAUCCAUGAAAUGCGAUGGACGGGGCAAGACAAGGUAGGGGCAAUAUCUACUAUUGGAGAAAAAGAGAGGAAACAAGUGGCGCUGUCAAGUGAAGUCAAUCGGAGACACCAAGGAUCAAAGUUAAAUUACCACCGUUAAAUCAAUCACCAGAACGAUUGCGGUCUUUGCUUUACGGCGACUAAACAGAAUAAAGACAAUUCUUGAUAAAUGCCUACAAAUACAAUUGUAACACUUCUAAGAUUCAAGGACGAUUAACCAUCGAACCAGAUAAUUGUUGCCACAAGAACUUCUUCACGGACAUAACGCUUUAAUUAGGUUAUUUAAAACGGCAAUGGAGGAUAUGCCU